ACUCAAAUGAAUAGACGGGGCCCCGCACAAGCAGCGGAGCGUGUGGUUUAAUUCGAUGCAACGCGAAGAACCUUACCCAGAUUUGACAUGGCCUUGCAAGCCGGGGAAACUCGGCCCUCUUCGGACAAGGUCACAGAUGUUGCAUGGCUGUCGUCAGCUCGUGUCGUGAGAUGUUGGGUUAAGUCCCGCAACGAGCGCAACCCUCGUGGUAUGUUGAGUUUCAUACCAGACCGCCGGUACAAGCCGGAGGAAGGUGGGGAUGAUGUCAAGUCCGCAUGGCUCUUACAUCUGGGGCUACACACACGCUACAAUGGUCGGGACAACGCGCAGCCACGGGGCGACCCGGCGCGAAUCGCAAAACCCGACCUCAGUGCAGAUGGUAGGCUGCAACUCGCCUGCCUGAAGACGGAGUUGCUAGUAACCGCGUGUCAGCAUAGCGCGGUGAAUAUGUUCCCGGGGCUUGUACACACCGCCCGU
rnacentral:rRNA from 1 species